rnacentral:tRNA from 1 species
GCCGAAGUGGCGGAACAGGCAGACGCGACGGUCUCAAAAACCGUUCCUCGCAAGAGGGUCCGGGUUCGACUCCCGGCUUCGGCACCA